rnacentral:rRNA from 1 species
GAAGUAAAAAGUCGUAACAAGGUCUCCGUUGGUGAACCAGCGGAGGGAUCAUUACUGAGUUACCGCUCAUCAACCCUUUGUGAACAUACCUUAACUGUUGCUUCGGCGGGUAGGCGUCCCCUAAAAAGGACGUCUCCCGGCCCUCUCCCGUCCGCGGGUGGGGCGCCCGCCGGAGGAUAACCAAACUCUGAUUUAACGACGUUUCUUCUGAGUGACACAAGCAAAUAAUCAAAACUUUUAACAACGGAUCUCUUGGUUCUGGCAUCGAUGAAGAACGCAGCGAAAUGCGAUAAGUAAUGUGAAUUGCAGAAUUCAGUGAAUCAUCGAAUCUUUGAACGCACAUUGCGCCCGCCAGCAUUCUGGCGGGCAUGCCUGUUCGAGCGUCAUUUCAACCCUCAAGCUCUGCUUGGUGUUGGGGCUCUACGGUUGACGUAGGCCCUUAAAGGUAGUGGCGGACCCUCUCGGAGCCUCCUUUGCGUAGUAACAUUUCGUCUCGCAUUGGGAUUCGGAGGGACUCUAGCCGUAAAACCCCCAAUUUUACUAAGGUUGACCUCGGAUCAGGUAGGAAUACCCGCUGAACUUAAGCAUAUCAUAG